CACAAUUCAGGUCUGGACACAUAAUUCAUGCUGCAGUGAUUGGUCCAGGGAUUGUCACAGGGGACCCACGUGGGUCAGUCAGGACCCUAUUCUGUGUUUCUUCUUACUGAAGUUGGAGAGAGAAGUCUUUUUCCUCUGGAGCCAUGAAUGUGGGAUGAGGAGGCAGAGGUCCCCCGCAACAGGAGAGGACAGUCGCUGUGAGAAGAUGAAGCUGGUAAAUCCUGGUCAUGACACAAAAACCCAGAGCAAGUUCUGUCUUCCAGCAAGUUGUUCACCUUCACUCUACUCUUCUUUCUUCUAUAAUAAAACAAGAAGAUUUAACCAGAAUCUGUCUCCAGCAGAAAGGAGAGGGUGGAGUUCUUCGUCCUCCGUCUGAGUCAGGACUAAGAACUCACGGAAGCCAGAGGCACGAAGGCUCUGGAGAGCUGAGACCUUGAUCCGAGGGACAGAUUUAAUGUGAAGGCAUCUUGUGCUAAGGUAAACAGAUGUGGAAUGGAACCCGAGUCCUCACCUGAAGCACUGGAGAUGAAGUACUGGAGGUGUGGCCGGCCGCAUGCAGAGGGCGCUGGAGGAGCAGCCUGGUGCUCACUCGCACACUGCUGCAGGCCAGAUCGGCAAGAUCAAAGGGGAGUGUCUGACAAAUGUCUGGCCCCUGCCCACCAGCCCUUCACCGUGCCCCGGCUCCACCUGCCUGAAACCCGAGUGCCUGCAGGGAUGCGUGGGCCCUGCCUAGGAGGGUGACUGGUGACGUUUGGUAGCACGGUGUGCUUGGCUUCAUGCAGCAUGUGGCAGGGCAGUGGGUGGCAUGCCAUCGCUCUUCACUUGCUCCAGCAUCUCUCUGAGGAGCUCGGGAUGAGGCUAUCCAUGGCUGGAGAUGCUGGGCAGAUGCGUAGAUACGUGUGUGUAACAUGUGUAUCUUACACAGAUACCUGUAGAAGGAUAUGCACAGCCUCCUGUAUGUCUAAAGAAUAUUUAUGUUAAGGAACUGGCUUACAUAAUUGUGAAAUCAGAAGUCCGCAAGGCUGGCAACACAGGGAAGCAAGGAUGUUGCAGCCCCAUCAGCUGCCAGGCCCCUCUUCCUGAGAGGACAGCACUCGUUGGUCACCAGGCCUCCCACAGUGCAGAGGACCAUCGGUUUCACUUGCAGGAGGCUUACACGUCAACCCCACUGGAAAUGACUUCACAGCAUCAGCCUGAUGCAACUACCAGGUUAUCUGGGCACCAUGAUCUUUCCAAAUUGACAUAUUAAAGUUAACUAGCUUGAGUUGGUGUGGUGCCACAUACAUGUCUAUUAACCCAGCACUCUGGGAGUCUGAAGUAGGAGGAUCACAAGUUCAACCCCAGCCUGGACAACUUGCAGAGACCAUGCUUAAAAAAAAUAAAAAGAAAGCUUGGGAAUGUAGCUCUGUGCAAAAGCCUACUUUCAUUCCCUAGCACCACUAAAAACAAGCAAGCAAGCAAGCCAACAAAUGCCUAUCAUACUAGACCAAGAGCUAACUUCUUUUAAGUAGUGACUACUUGUGUGACAGCCAUGCAGAAAGGGCUAGGUGUGAACCAAGCGCCAGUAGUUUUCCCUGAGUGUGAACACCUAGUCCUCACAGUUCUUGAACGAAGCCAGCAGACUGCUACUUUCCUCUCACUGCCAACAAUAGACUUCAAUUUCAACCAGGAAGCCAGUUACAUACCAGUCUCCACAGGGCUCCUAGCUGCCCACCAAGUCUGACUGACAUGAUUUGACAGCUUCUCUAAAGCUGCCAUGAGUCGAAAUAUAAUGAAUCCAUCUUGGAGUUCACUGGCCAGGGAGCCAUGGACCUCAGCACAGCUGAGUGGAGGCUGCGGUAGGCAGCGGGCAGAUGUGGCCUCAGGGGUUGAACUGCAGAGCCCCGCACAACUGGUGGACACAUGUGUGCAGCUGGGAUCGCUGGUGUCUUCUGAUCCUUGCAGCAGUUUAACUAGUUAGAGCUUGCAAAUGUUUCAUUUAAGAAUUUAAACUCAAGAAGACAUUUAAGAAGUUGGAAGAUGCGAGAUACCACAUGCAGAAGCAAACACGUGAUCCAAAGGGAACAUUUUCUUCGGCAACUUGUCAUCUAGUUCCGUUUGUGAGAUGAAUGGGCUUUACUGCUCCUCGCUUCUUCCUCUCCCAUUCACAUAUUAUUGAAAGGAAUUACUUUUACUCAUUUUUCUUCAUACAUGGUUGCUAAAUCCUUUUAGUGUUUCCCGUUUCUUUUUUUUUCACAUUUAUAUAUGCAUGCUUUAUCAACCUAGGAUCAGUUUUAGAAAUGUAGCUUCACAUUUAUCUAAGAUUUUAGGAUGAUUAGGACCCAUUCUUUUAAAAAUUUUGUUUAUUUAGGAUCCACUGUGAACUCUUAUGAGAAAGAGUUGUUUUCAGUAUUUUCUCUGUCUCCUUUGUUUCAGGAUGAAGCCAAGUCCUGAGCGUUACUUAAGAUAACUCAAUAAAUUAUAAGCACAUGUCUGUUGAACAAAGGCAAUAUUUUUUGACUCUAAAAUUUUUGGUUACACAGUUUUGAGUCAUUCCAAACCACAGUUGCAAUAGCCUCUAAAGUGGAUGAAACAUCAUAAGUAUUUCUCAAGUCAUUGUGAUAUGAUGGUUUAAUUAAAAUGCUUAAUCAAGCUUCAGAGAAUAUGUGAAAGGACUAAUAUAGCUCUUUGGAAGAAUGAGAGGCUUAAGGAGUUAGAAGAAUUCAGGAAUGAACAUGGGUUGUAGUGCUAAGCCUGAGUAAUAAAUUCAAUAUUUUCAACACAGUAUCUGGAGUGAAGAGUGACAAUUUUCUGGGACCAAAGAGGAUGAGAUGAGAUUCUAGAAAUUCUACAAAAGAGGCUGAGGGAUGCAUUUUAUAAUGACUUUGUGGAGAAGAUCAUAGACAUCAAAACUGGAAAAAUGUUGUUCAAUCAAGAUUUCACCCUAAGAAGUAAAGGCAGGUGGCCUUGGACUAAUUAUCUUUUGGCUGAUCCGAAUUCACAAGCCCUCAAUUGUAGUAUCAGGAGUAGCGGUACUUUCCAAACCCUGUAAAACAGGGCACGAUGUGCAUUUGCUGUGUGCUUUAACUGUAUGCUCAUCAUUUAUUUUAGGAAAUACAAUA
ensembl:lncRNA